rnacentral:rRNA from 1 species
GUGGGAUGACGUCAAGUCCUCAUGGCCUUUAUGCCCAGGGCUACACACGUGCUACAAUGGGUGGUACAAAGAGAUGCAAUCUCGCAAGAGCAAGCAAACCUCAAAAAGCCAUCCUCAGUUCGGAUUGGAGUCUGCAACUCGACUCCAUGAAGUCGGAAUCGCUAGUAAUCGCGGAUCAGCACGCCCGCGGUUCCGAAUACGUUCCGGGCCUU